CAGAGGGUAGUUUAAUGAUAAAAUCUCAGCUUUGGGAGCCGAGGAUUGGAGUUUAAAUCUCCACUCUUUGA
rnacentral:tRNA from 1 species